AUAAAAAAAAUAAUAAAUAUGUGGACAGCCCACGUGACCCUCUAUCUUCUCUCUGAAUCCUCUAAAAAAAAGACCUUUCCUCUUCUUCACUCACAAAAAAACCCUAGCGGCUCACUCUCUCCAACGGCUUCAUUCGUAAAAACCUAGUCGCCUUCCCUCUUCUUCCCCACAAAAAACCCUAGCCGCCACCUUCAUUUUCAUCAUCUCCUUCACCGAAAUCCUUCUUCCACACACUCACUCUCCGCCGCCACCCUUCAUUUUCUUCAACUUCUUCACUUCAAAAAAACCUAUCGCCGCUCCACACCAUCUCGGAAAACCCUUCCGCUCAAAAUUCAUUUCAUUCCCUCAACACAAAAACCCUUUCCGUAAAAACUUCAAAAUCCCAAUCGCUUCCGUCAUCUCCUUUCGCACCACCCCUCUCCACCGAUCUUCUCCACCGUACACCGAACCUACUGCCGCCACACGCCAUUUACCCACCACCAUAAACCCUCCUUCAUUCCGAAACCCUCACUCUCUCAAACUUGAAUUUUGAAUCGCGAUCCAUCUCGUGCAUCUAAUUCCAGUUUUGGAUCCUCAACCGUCAGUCACGCGCACGACGACGAUCUGUUCGUGAUAAGAAGGGACAGUCUAGUAUACGAUGGUGAUUUUGCAUCUAAGUCGGAGAUUUCUUCUCCGCGCCGGUUUAUGACAAACCAGUAUACGAUGGCGAUGCUUUUGAUGGGGUGCCUGGGUUGAAGAGCAUGACGAAGUUUAGUUUUCAUAUUUGUCUUCGUGUCCGAAAAUGAAAAGGAGUUUGGUUCUGGCAGGAAGGGAUUGUAGAAAAGGAUAAAGUUGUUUCUGUCUUUAACUAUUUACUACCUGGAUUCGAAAGAAAACAACGGUAACCUCUACAUUCUGAACUCAAUAUUCAAUCCAAUCCAUUUUUGGUUCAAAAACAGUGGUUAUUAUCGUUUAUUUUUGGGUGUUUGUAAAUGGUCUUUCAUAGUUUUUUUGAGCAGGGUUCUGUAGAGUUGUUGUUGCCAUGAUAUAUCGGUUUGAUUUCGUUUUCGUAACUUUAUGACCACUGUAAUCUAAUUUGGUGUUGUUGCAACUGAACUUUGUUUUGUCGGUUUCGAGUUCGUAAAGCUUGUUUCUCCUUUCAGUUCGUAUUGAUAUUUGUUGUUUUGCUUAUGAUUUCUUUGACUGAGUUUUGUUUUCCUUCUAGUGCUGUUAACGGUCCUUUACCUGGUUUUGAAGGAUUUGGAGGUUUUGAGUUUAAGGGAUGACCCUUUCACUGGUGUUGUUCCCAGUUUCAUUGGUUAGCUUGAAGUUGCUUAAAGAUUUGAAUUUGACUAAUAACUUGUUUCAGGAUCCUGUGCCUGAUUUUGGUGCUGGCCUCGUCGUGGUCUUUGGCAUUUGCCUUAGCUUAAAGUUUGUAUUUCUAUUUGUUUCCGCAUCAGAUCAGUUAUGCAGGUUUGUUGCAGUUUAGGAUUGGUAUCGGCGCCGGCAUGCACAUUGGAGCGUUUGGAUCGUGGCUUUGCUUUUGAAAUUGGCAGAAUUGUUAUUCAUGAAAGUGAUACUGUUGAAAGUGCUCACAAGGAAAUUGCUUGGCGUUUGCUUAAGGGUGCUGCUAAUUGGCAAAGGAGCCUUUUGAAUCUGCCCUAUUUUGAUAUUAAAUUUUAUUAAGUCUGUUUUGUGUCUUGGUUUGGGUGUCAAGUUUUUAUGUUGUUUCUGUUUGAUUAUUCAAAUUGAAAUCUAGUUUUGCUUGAAACCUUUUCAUUA